rnacentral:rRNA from 1 species
AAAGAGUGCGUAAUAGCUCACUAGUCGAGAGGUCCUGCGCCGAAAAUGUCCGGGGCUAAAACUUACCACCGAAGCUACGGGCUUGCGUAAGCAAGCGGUAGGGGAGCGUCGUAAUCGGGCUGAAGUCGUACCGUAAGGAGCGGUGGACUGAUUACGAGUGAGAAUGUUGGCAUUAGUAGCGAGAUGUAGGUGAGAAUCCUACAGGCCGAAUAUCUAAGGUUUCCUCAGGAAGGCUCGUCCGCUGAGGGUUAGUCGGGACCUAAGCCGAGGCCGAAAGGCGUAGGCGAUGGACAACAGGUUGAUAUUCCUGUACCACUACCAUCGUUAUUAUCGAGGGUGUGACGGAGAAGGAUAGUGUGUGCUAGCGAUUGGAAAUGCUAGUCUAAGCGUUUAGGGAGUUACGGUAGGCAAAUCCGCUGUAACAAUUCUGAGGCGUGAUGGGGAAGGCCAUAUAGGCCGAAGUACAUGAUUCCAUGCUUCCAAGAAAAGCAUCUAGAGAGAGAAGUAGUGCCCGUACCGCAAACCGACACAGGUAGAUGAGGAGAGAAUCCUAAGGCCGGCGGAAGAAUUGCAGUUAAGGAACUAGGCAAAUUGACCCCGUAAGUUAGCGAGAAGGGGUGCCUGCGAGAGCAGGCCGCAGAGAAUAGGCCCAAGCAACUGUUUAGCAAAAACACAGGUCUCUGCUAAAGCGUAAGCUGAUGUAUAGGGGCUGACGCCUGCCCGGUGCUGGAAGGUUAAGGGGAACACUUAGCGCAAGCGAAGGUGUGAACUUAAGCCCCAGUAAACGGCGGCCGGAACUAUAACGGGCCUAAGGUAGCGAAAUUCCUUGUCAGGUAAGUUCUGACCCGCACGAAUGGCGUAAUGACUUGGGCACUGUCUCAACUGCAAAUCCGGCGAAGUUGUAGUGCGAGUGAAGAUGCUCGCUACCCGCGAUUGGACGGAAAGACCCCGUAGAGCUUUACUGUAGCUUAGCAUUGAAUUCCGGUAUUGUCUGUACAGGAUAGGUGGGAGACUGGGAAACUAGGGCGUCAGCCUUAGUGGAGUCGUCCUUGGGAUACCACCCUGACAGUACUGGGGUUCUAACAGGACGCCAUGAAUCUGGUGACUGGACAAUGUUAGGUGGACAGUUUGACU